ACAAUAUAAGGUCCGUGGGCCUCCGCGCUUACAUUCCUUCUGCAUAAUUUAGUCUCGUUAAUCACGACGCAGACGGACAGUUCGUUAACAAAGGAGAAUCGGCUGUUUGUAAUAACGACAAUGAGUUAAACCAUGGCUUUUAACAAUGGACACCACCAAUACAAACCAGCAUUUUCAGGGUUACGAUCAUAAAUCGCCAGAUUCUCAUCUUGUUCAAGGAUAUCCGUCAAUACUGAUAUAAUCCUUUUGGUCCUUUAGUGUUAUUGCUUGACUUUCUUGGCGUGUUUUAUUAUUCUGUAGGGGAAAGCCAAUUGAAAUUAAGAGGCUAUUACUGAGACUCAAUUCACUUAUUUUGGAUAGAUCUAAUUCGAUUAAUCUUGGAAGUGGACAGUGGUAUUAAUCUAAUUCAAAUUCAGCGUAAUUUCCAUCGUCCUGCGCGGACAGUGUAUGACCUGCAGAUCUUUCUGUUCAAAUCCAAUCAUCAAACCAGGUAUCUUUCACGUUUCUUGGAGGUUGGGACAUCUUUAUGAACAUGCAACCGAUGAGAAAGGCGUCCACGAUGGAGCCCAGCAGUGAUUGAAACAGGAACAGAAUGAUGCCUUCGGGACAUUUCUCAGUAAUAUAGCGGUAACCGUAGCCGAUCGUGGCCUCUGUCUCUAUGAAAAACAAAAAAGCCGACGGAAAGUUGUAAACAUUUGCAACGCACGGUGUGUAGUUCUGGUCAUGACCUUGGUUGAGAUCGCCCCUGAUAUAAGCGAUGAUCCACCACAUUGAAGCCAUCACCAGCCAGGCGACCGUGUACGUCAAGAUGAAGAUGAGCAGGUUCCAUCUCCAUUUCAGAUCCACCAAGGUAGUAAACAGGUCCGAGAUGUAUCUGCUGGUCUCCCCACCGAGGUUCCCGUGUUGCACAUUGCAGCGCCCGUUCUUGUCGACGAAGCGCUGCCGCUUCUUUUUGACGGGCGCCGCAAACGCGGCUGCUCUGUUAGUGUUCACAACCUGGUAGUCCUCUCCAAAUUUCCUCCGUAGCGCAGACAUAACUUCGGCUUAACCGGGAUCAAACGCACCGAGCCUGCCUCUGCGACGUGAAGAAGAUUUUACUGGCGCUCGUUACCCAUUAGUGGCGUCUCUGAUCAUUAGAAACGAUGGCACUUUUCCCACUGCGUAAAAAAGCGCAGCAAUCUAUAAGCAACGGGUCAGCGCGGAGGUGCGGCUUUGGGGCAUGCUGACUCACAGUCACACUCCAGAACUUUCCACACCAAAAGGAGCAGACAAAGGGUCCGUUAUGUUAAUCGAGACGGCUGCGCUCGCUGACAGGUAUUACUCCUCGGUUUAAUCAGUCGCAGGGCCGGCGCUGUUCCUGUUAGAAGCGGAAUAAAGACAGCUUUGUGAAAUUUGGACUGAAUAAUGGCUGAUUGCUUUGCCAGAUUUACUGAUUUCUGUCCCUACUAGCAGCCUGGAUUGGUACAUUGUAAAGAAGCAAAGCUUAAUAAGACUCUAAAUAAGCGAUCCGCAGAGCCGGCCGUAAUGUUUCAUGGCGGGCUGUCCUUGUCGCUACGUUGGUGGGGAAUUGAAAGGCUGUGGUUCAUUAAGCCGGACCCAGAGAAGUCGGAGUCGUCAUGGGCAUCUGGCCACACGGCCGGCGUCCUCUUGGCAGAAGAAGGAUGGAGCCGAAACUCAGAAUAAAUAUGUUCCCAUCGGCCGGGCUGAACUCCGGGAAUUGGGAUUUCUCUGCCAUAACAAACCUGAACUUCUAAGUCAGACUGGGUUCAGUACAGGUUUCGGUUGUCCGCUACACAGACUACAUAGUCCCGCCCCUCCUCCACCCCCCAUCACCACUGCGUUCCAGCUACAGUCAUUGAACACCAACAGAUUGGCGCUCUAUUAGAGAACAGGCUGGCAGCAGAAUGACGGAUAAACUGGCAACUGCAACUUCCUCUCUGGCUGCGCAUCGGAAACAAAGCGAUAAACCAAAUCCGGGCUCGUCAGCCGUUACUGAUUCUUGCAGCGAGGCCAAAAUAUGAGUUCCGGUUAAAUAUUGUCCCCGCGUUCGUUUGCGCUGAUUAACAUGGCCUUUCCUUUGCAUCAUCCAGUGUCCGGCGCUUGUAGAAACUGGUAGAAUAGUGUCCCAGAGCCCAACUCAAAAACUUGAUAAGAUAAUUUAUUUGCCAUUUGCACAAAGUAUAGUGGAAUUCCAGGCGUUUCGCUUUGCCCAUCUACAUCUUCGUGAGAGACACGGUUUUGGGGACAGAGAGCAAGGUCAGCCGACAUGCAGCUUCCUUGGAGCAGAUGGGGUUAAUACCAAGUGUAAUGAUUACUCUGCUAGCUACAGGAUUCACACUCAACCCACGACGAGGUGGGUAUAAAUCCCUACCCCACUGGACUGCACA